rnacentral:rRNA from 1 species
UCGCCGCCGGUGACGUUGUGAGAAGUUCAUUAAACCUUAUCAUUUAGAGGAAGGAGAAGUCGUAACAAGGUUUCCGUAGGUGAACCUGCGGAAGGAUCAUUG